rnacentral:snRNA from 1 species
GGAUAGGAGGGCAAUCUGGCUGUGACAUCUGUCACCCCAUUGAUCUCUAGGGUUGAUUCAGCUGAUCUGGCUGGCUAGGCAGGUGUCCCCUUUCUCCUUCACUGCUCCAUCUACAUCCCUCUUGAAGCUGAGUGCUCCAUCCAAGAGGAUGACUAUCCCUGAUAGCAGAGGACCAGUCUCUGGUCAAAGGUAUACAAGUAGCUGUGCCCCCCUGCUAUAACCUCCAAACAAGCUCUCAAAUCACUGGUGCUCUGUAUUCAAACGCCAACUGUCCGGGUCCUGGGCCAGCUGUCUUCUAAG